rnacentral:misc_RNA from 1 species
GGAAAUGAUUAGGUCCCCUAGGAACCAAGUUCUAAUGGUGCACAAACUUACAGAGCAGUGAAGUCUGACAUACCGUCAUGCAUGGUCCUUCUGCAUGGUCCGUCCAAAAUACUAAUUACAUGUAUCAAUAGUUCUACGCCCUAUUAAAGGAUUGGUGACAAAAUCGUACUACAAAUUCAAAAAUAUCAGAUUUUGGAUACAAGAAUUUGUGACAAAUUACCUACUAAAGUUCGACAUGGAUUCAAGGAUUUGUGAUAUAGUACUUCAUCUCUUGUUGUUAUUCCUAAGGUCUCUAUGUAAGGUUAUAGUGUGGGGUUUACACGCCGGGAAUUUCGGAAUUGUUGUAGUUACAGUGUUAGUUUUGCUUUAUACCAAUGGGGGAAAAAUAUCGAAUAUACGUUGUACAUCGGUGAGUCAUCCACAUACAUUUCAGCCAGGUGAUCCAUUCAAGUUUCUCCAUUUGUGAGAACCUUUUUCAUACUUUCAUAUUUCAUUGCCAAAUCAAUAAAAAUCGUUAUCUUUCAU